rnacentral:rRNA from 1 species
AUACGUAGGUGACAAGCGUUAUCCGGAUUUACUGGGCGUAAAGGGCGUGUAGGCGGAUACUUAAGUGGGAUGUGAAAUCCCCGGGCUCAACCCGGGAACUGCAUUCCAAACUGGGUAUCUAGAGUGCAGGAGAGGAAAGCGGAAUUCCUAGUGUAGCGGUGAAAUGCGUAGAUAUUAGGAGGAACACCAGUGGCGAAGGCGGCUUUCUGGACUGUAACUGACACUGAGGCAUGAAAGCGUGGGUAGCAAACAGGAUUAGAUACCCUGGUAGUCCACGCCGUAAACGAUGGGUACUAGGUGUAGGAGGUAUCGACCCCUUCUGUGCCGUCGUUAACACAAUAAGUACCCCGCCUGGGGAGUACGGUCGCAAGACUAAAACUCAAAUGAAUUGACGGGG